rnacentral:rRNA from 1 species
CAGCCGCCGCGGGAAUACCGAGGGUGCGAGCGUUAAUCGGAUUUACUGGGCGUAAAGCGUGCGUAGGCGGCUUCUUAAGUCGGAUGUGAAAUCCCUGAGCUUAACUUAGGAAUUGCAUUCGAUACUGGGAAGCUAGAGUAUGGGAGAGGAUGGUAGAAUUCCAGGUGUAGCGGUGAAAUGCGUAGAGAUCUGGAGGAAUACCGAUGGCGAAGGCAGCCAUCUGGCCUAAUACUGACGCUGAGGUACGAAAGCAUGGGGAGCAAACAGGAUUAGAUACCCCUGUAGUCCCUGUCUCUUAUAC